AUUGAACGCUGGCGGCAGGCCUAACACAUGCAAGUCGAACGGUAACAGGAAGCAGCUUGCUGCUUCGCUGACGAGUGGCGGACGGGUGGGUAAUGUCUGGGAAACUGCCUGAUGGAGGGGGAUAACUACUGGAAACGGUAGCUAAUACCGCAUAACGUCGCAAGACCAAAGAGGGGGACCUUAGGGCCUCUUGCCAUCGGAUGUGCCCAGAUGGGAUUAGCUAGUAGGUGGGGUAACGGCUCACCUAGGCGACGAUCCCUAGCUGGUCUGAGAGGAUGACCAGCCACACUGGAACUGAGACACGGUCCAGACUCCUACGGGAGGCAGCAGUGGGGAAUAUUGCACAAUGGGCGCAAGCCUGAUGCAGCCAUGCCGCGUGUAUGAAGAAGGCCUUCGGGUUGUAAAGUACUUUCAGCGGGGAGGAAGGGAGUAAAGUUAAUACCUUUGCUCAUUGACGUUACCCGCAGAAGAAGCACCGGCUAACUCCGUG
rnacentral:rRNA from 1 species